CCACAAUCCAUCCGUAGCCGCCAUCGGGUACAACUCGACUCAUCUGCACAUCCAUGUCAGUGCUCUCCGGACUGCUCGACGAGAUUAAGCUGGCUGCAAAACAAAAACAGGUGUGGAAAUGUGCGUCUAGCAGAUAAGCCAGUUGUGUCGCACUUACACAUCUGUGACGAGGUAAACGGCUCGUCUGGACGAUUCCUCCAAACUGCGUGGCCAUUUCGCCAACCACGUAUUAACAAAUUAAGCCGAAUUAAAGCCUAAAUUAAAAUAAAUUAAUCCCAAAGUCGCAACACUUUGAGUCAGUAUGA